UCCGAGUCAAGCAGCGAGAGCGAUUCGGACGAUGACCGAAGCAAAGAGGAGAGACUUUAUGACAAGGCCAAGAGACGCAUAGAGAAACGAAGGCAGGAAAACCUGAAGAACAUUAAUUUUGGCAAGCUCCGAUCUCCUGUGGUUUGUGUACUGGGUCAUGUAGACACAGGGAAGACCAAAAUCCUGGAUAAGCUGAGACACACACAUGUUCAGGAUGGUGAGGCUGGUGGGAUCACACAGCAGAUCGGA